AACAUUUCUUUUAGUUAAUUAAACACAAUAAAAAUAAAAAGUAAGACCUGCCCACUGUAUUAAUAAAGGGCCGCGGUAUUAUGACCGUGCAAAGGUAGCAUAAUCAUUAGUCUUUUAAUUGGAGAAUGGUAUGAAUGGUUAAAUGGUUUUUUGUUUUACUUUAAUAAUUUUUUUUUUGGAAUUUUGAUUUUAAGUGAAAAUACUUAAAUAAGUUAAAUAGACGAUAAGACCCUAUAGAAUUUUAUUUUAUUUUAUUUUAUUAAAAAAUUAAUUAAAGUUUAAAUGGGGAAUUAAUAGAAUAAGUUAAACUUCUACUAUAAAAUAUAUAUUUAUAGUCUUUAAACUUAAAGGAUUUAAAAAAAAUUACCUUAGGGAUAACAGCGUAAUUGUUUUUGAGAGUUCAUAUCGACAAAAUAGUUUGCGACCUCGAUGUUGAAUUAAAAUACCUAAAAGGAGCAGAAUUUUUUUAAGGUAGUCUGUUCGACUAUAAAAUUUUUACAUGAUUUGAGU
rnacentral:rRNA from 1 species